rnacentral:lncRNA from 1 species
GGGGUGCUAGAGACUUGUAUCAAAAAUAUCUCUCUAACGACGAUACAAAGAUUAGGUGUAUAUUCCUAAUGGUGUUGCAAAGGUUGGGUGGAUAAAUUCUAAUGGUGUAACAGACGUUUGGUGAAGAGUCAUGUUGGUGAUUAUGGCAGUACAAUACGUGUGUCGGAUUUCGCUGGAGGUUGGAAACCAAGGGUUUGUGUGGUACUUGGUUUGAGACGAGGUUUGUUGUUAAUGAAAACAAAGUCCCACAAUUAAAGUUUAGAGAAAUAAUAGGGGUGAUUGGUUGGAUUAUAACUAUAAAAAAAUU